rnacentral:rRNA from 1 species
CUUUUCCUUCGGGGACAGAGGAGACAGGUGGUGCAUGGUUGUCGUCAGCUCGUGUCGUGAGAUGUUGGGUUAAGUCCCGCAACGAGCGCAACCCUUGAUCUUAGUUGCCAGCACGCAGAGGUGGGCACUCUAAGAUGACUGCCGGUGACAAACCGGAGGAAGGUGGGGAUGACGUCAAAUCAUCAUGCCCCUUAUGGCCUGGGCUACACACGUACUACAAUGGUCGGUACAACGGGAAGCGAAGGAGCGAUCCGGAGCCAAUCCUCAAAAGCCGAUCUCAGUUCGGAUUGCAGGCUGCAACUCGCCUGCAUGAAGUCGGAAUUGCUAGUAAUCGCGGAUCAGCAUGCCGCGGUGAAUACGUUCCCGGGUCUUGUACACACCGCCCGUCACACCACGAGAGUUUACAACACCCGAAGUCGGUGAGGUAACCGCAAGGGGCCAGCCGCCGAAGGUGGGGUAGAUGAUUGGGGUGAAGUCGUAACAAGGUAGCCGUAUCGGAAGGUGCGGCUGGAUCACCUCCUUU